UACGUAGGGGGCAAGCGUUGUCCGGAAUCAUUGGGCGUAAAGCGCGCGUAGGCGGCCCGGUAAGUCCGCUGUGAAAGUCAAAGGCUCAACCUUUGAAUGUCAGCGGAUACUGCCGGGCUAGAGUCCGGAAGAGGCGAGUGGAAUUCCUGGUGUAGCGGUGGAAUGCGCAGAUAUCAGGAGGAACACCAACGGCGAAGGCAGCUCGCUGGGACGGUACUGACGCUGAGGCGCGAAAGCCAGGGGAGCGAACGGG
rnacentral:rRNA from 1 species